rnacentral:rRNA from 1 species
GACGAACGCUGGCGGCGUGCUUAACACAUGCAAGUCGAACGGAAAGGCCCUGCUUUUGUGGGGUGCUCGAGUGGCGAACGGGUGAGUAACACGUGAGUAACCUGCCCUUGACUUUGGGAUAACUUCAGGAAACUGGGGCUAAUACCGGAUAGGAGCUCCUGCUGCAUGGUGGGGGUUGGAAAGUUUCGGCGGUUGGGGAUGGACUCGCGGCUUAUCGGCUUGUUGGUGGGGUAGUGGCUUACCAAGGCUUUGACGGGUAGCCGGCCUGAGAGGGUGACCGGCCACAUUGGGACUGAGAUACGGCCCAGACUCCUACGGGAGGCAGCAGUGGGGAAUAUUGCACAAUGGGCGGAGGCCUGAUGCAGCAACGCCGCGUGCGGGAUGACGGCCUUCGGGUUGUAAACCGCUUUCGCCUGUGACGAAGCGUGAGUGACGGUAAUGGGUAAAGAAGCACCGGCUAACUACGU